GCAUAAUCAUUAGUCUUUUAAUUGAAGGCUGGUAUGAAUGGCGGGACGAAGUACUUACUGUUUCUUCUAGAUUAGAUUGGAAUUUAAUUUUUUAGUCAAAAAGCUGAAAUUUGAUUGGAGGACGAGAAGACCCUAUAGAGCUUAAUAUGAAAUUCUUAUUUUUAUUUUAAAUUUAAAAUUUAAGAAAAACAUAUUUUGUUGGGGCGACAGAAAGAAAUAAUAAACUCUUUUUUAUUUUUUUCAUAAGUUAAUGUAUAAAUGAUCCACUUAUUGUGAUUAUAAGAAUAAGUUACCUUAGGGAUAACAGCGUAAUUCUUCUUGAGAGUUCUUAUCGACAGAAGAGUUUGCGACCUCGAUGUUGGACUAAGAUAAAUUUUGGGUGCAGAAGCUCAAAUAUUAGGUCUGUUCGACCUUUAAAAUCUUACAU
rnacentral:rRNA from 1 species